ACAGCAGUAGCCGCGGUAAUACGAAGGGUGCAAGCGUUACUCGGAAUUACUGGGCGUAAAGCGUGCGUAGGUGGUGGUUUAAGUCCGUUGUGAAAGCCCUGGGCUCAACCUGGGAAUUGCAGUGGAUACUGGGUCACUAGAGUGUGGUAGAGGAUAGUGGAAUUUCCGGUGUAGCAGUGAAAUGCGUAGAGAUCGGAAGGAACAUAUGUGGCGAAGGCGACUAUCUGGGCCAACACUGACACUGAGGCACGAAAGCGUGGGGAGCAAACAGGAUUAGAUACCCCAGUAGUCCCUGUCUCUUAUAC
rnacentral:rRNA from 1 species